AACAAACAAGCAUGCAUGCCCUCCCCAAGCUGGUUUCUUGGCAACAGCUCAUGAGCUGGAUGAAACUGGUUUGGACUGUGAGGGUUACACAAGACUGCGUCUUCCAAUGUCCGGGAGGGUUGGGGUAUGUAAAGGGACAUGGAGGGACACAGUGUGAACCGGGACGAGCUGGAAUCUAAACACACAACGGAGGACAACAGCGUUGAGCUGGGAGUCUGGAAUCAGAGUGGUUUUCAAAUGCUGUGUUCAAAGUUUCAGUGGUCCUAACCAUAGAUAUAUUAUGACCGUACUGUGACAUAUUCACAUUCAUCAUUCAAGCGACAGACUGCUCUGAUCUUCUUUCUUCAAGGAUGAGGGCGUGAUGCUUCGAGUGCCCCGGUCCAGACCGCGCCACCGGCCUCCCAAAGGUGCUAAGGGCGUUCAUACAUCUGGCUUCACCCACUACACCCACAGGGUCCACCAGAGGGCGGAGCCUGGGUCAAAGGUUAUGCUGAAAUAACCCUUGUUCUAUAAGCACAGACGGGGCCCUCUAGCUAGGGGCCCUGCUGCUACGGUGUGGGAUACCAGACAGCAGGGACGCUGCCUUAUAGUCUGGGAAUAGGUUUGAGUAGGCUCAUCCUGACUAGCUGGGUGUGUAUAUGCAAAGUUCAGCAUGCUUGGGAUUAAAGAGGAAUAUUACCUUUAGAGUCCAGUACAGGGCUCACUGAGUUGGGUUGGGAACCGGAGGGUCACUUGUUCAAGUCCACAUACAGACCAAAGUAUGCUGGGCACUGACAGUAUCGGGCUCCUUUCCAUGGGCAUCACUCUGACAUCUCUCCGUUUAACCAGUUAGGGACUUGUCACCCAGCGGAGCAUGGAGAGCUGAAGCUCACACGCUCAUAGGGAGAAGAAAAGUCUGGAAAAGCGUGAGAUUGGUGCCUAUUGCAAACUGUCAUCGCCGCAUGAUGCGCAUACAAAAACACCAGAGACCACCUUUUCUGGACAUCAUUCGAUGUCAUUACUUAAGGGGAGACAUUGCGGAGGCUCCACGCAGAGCUUUCACCAUAGCCUACCUAAGUGGCUCGGUGUUUACGCUUGUGCGCUGGUGUGUGCAUCAAGCAUGCAUGUGUGUGUGUGUGUGGGGGGGGGGGGAGUGGGUGAUAGAGGGAGGGAGAAGUGAGAGAGUGACGGUGAUUAGCUCUGGAGCGAGUACCGACUCUAGAGUCCAAGUGAGAGAAGUGUGUCCCCUGUUCUUUCUGACCACGGUGAGACAUCUG